UCGUCACACUAUCAUUAACUGAAUCCAUAGGUUAAUGAGGCGAACCGGGGGAACUGAAACAUCUAAGUACCCCGAGGAAAAGAAAUCAACCGAGAUUCCCCCAGUAGCGGCGAGCGAACGGGGAGGAGCCCAGAGCCUGAAUCAGCAUGUGUGUUAGUGGAAGCGUCUGGAAAGGCGCGCGAUACAGGGUGACAGCCCCGUACACAAAAGCGCAUGUGCUGUGAGCUCGAUGAGUAGGGCGGGACACGUGGUAUCCUGUCUGAAUAUGGGGGGACCAUCCUCCAAGGCUAAAUACUCCUGACUGACCGAUAGUGAACCAGUACCGUGAGGGAAAGGCGAAAAGAACCCCGGCGAGGGGAGUGAAAAAGAACCUGAAACCGUGUACGUACAAGCAGUGGGAGCACAGGUUUACCUGUGUGACUGCGUACCUUUUGUAUAAUGGGUCAGCGACUUAUAUUCUGUAGCAAGGUUAACCGAAUAGGGGAGCCGGAGGGAAACCGAGUCUUAAUUGGGCGUUAAGUUGCAGGGUAUAGACCCGAAACCCGGUGAUCUAGCCAUGGGCAGGUUGAAGGUUGGGUAACACUAACUGGAGGACCGAACCGACUAAUGUUGAAAAAUUAGCGGAUGACCUGUGGCUGGGGGUGAAAGGCCAAUCAAACCGGGAGAUAGCUGGUUCUCCCCGAAAGCUAUUUAGGUAGCGCCUCGUGAAUUCAUCUCCGGGGGUAGAGCACUGUUUCGGCUAGGGGGCCAUCCCGGCUUACCAACCCGAUGCAAACUGCGAAUACCGGAGAAUGUUAUCACGGGAGACACACGGCGGGUGCUAACGUCCGUCGUGAAGAGGGAAACAACCCAGACCGCCAGCUAAGGUCCCAAAGUCAUGGUUAAGUGGGAAACGAUGUGGGAAGGCCCAGACAGCCAGGAUGUUGGCUUAGAAGCAGCCAUCAUUUAAAGAAAGCGUAAUAGCUCACUGGUCGAGUCGGCCUGCGCGGAAGAUGUAACGGGGCUAAACCAUGCACCGAAGCUGCGGCAGCGAACGUAUCACCCAAGACAACUUUACGGAGUUGACGAUUGACGGAGCGAAGCGACGUCAAAGCGUUCAUUAAAGUCGAGUUGGCUUAGGGAUACGUUCGUUGGGUAGGGGAGCGUUCUGUAAGCCUGUGAAGGUGUGUCGUGAGGCAUGCUGGAGGUAUCAGAAGUGCGAAUGCUGACAUAAGUAACGAUAAAGCGGGUGAAAAGCCCGCUCGCCGGAAGACCAAGGGUUCCUGUCCAACGUUAAUCGGGGCAGGGUGAGUCGACCCCUAAGGCGAGGCCGAAAGGCGUAGUCGAUGGGAAACGGGUUAAUAUUCCCGUACUUGGUGUUACUGCGAAGGGGGGACGGAGAAGGCUAUGUUGGCCGGGCGACGGUUGUCCCGGUUUAAGCGUGUAGGUGUGUGUUCCAGGUAAAUCCGGUUCACUUUAACACUGAGGCGUGACGACGAGGCACUACGGUGCUGAAGCAACAAAUGCCCUGCUUCCAGGAAAAGCCUCUAAGCAUCAGGUAACACGAAAUCGUACCCCAAACCGACACAGGUGGUCAGGUAGAGAAUACCAAGGCGCUUGAGAGAACUCGGGUGAAGGAACUAGGCAAAAUGGUGCCGUAACUUCGGGAGAAGGCACGCUGACACGUAGGUGAAGUGAUUUACUCAUGGAGCUGAAGUCAGUCGAAGAUACCAGCUGGCUGCAACUGUUUAUUAAAAACACAGCACUGUGCAAACACGAAAGUGGACGUAUACGGUGUGACGCCUGCCCGGUGCCGGAAGGUUAAUUGAUGGGGUCAGCGUAAGCGAAGCUCCUGAUCGAAGCCCCGGUAAACGGCGGCCGUAACUAUAACGGUCCUAAGGUAGCGAAAUUCCUUGUCGGGUAAGUUCCGACCUGCACGAAUGGCGUAAUGAUGGCCAGGCUGUCUCCACCCGAGACUCAGUGAAAUUGAACUCGCUGUGAAGAUGCAGUGUACCCGCGGCAAGACGGAAAGACCCCGUGAACCUUUACUAUAGCUUGACACUGAACAUUGAGCCUUGAUGUGUAGGAUAGGUGGGAGGCUUUGAAGUGUGGACGCCAGUCUGCAUGGAGCCGACCUUGAAAUACCACCCUUUAAUGUUUGAUGUUCUAACGUGGACCCGUAAUCCGGGUUGCGGACAGUGUCUGGUGGGUAGUUUGACUGGGGCGGUCUCCUCCUAAAGAGUAACGGAGGAGCACGAAGGUUGGCUAAUCCUGGUCGGACAUCAGGAGGUUAGUGCAAUGGCAUAAGCCAGCUUGACUGCGAGCGUGACGGCGCGAGCAGGUGCGAAAGCAGGUCAUAGUGAUCCGGUGGUUCUGAAUGGAAGGGCCAUCGCUCAACGGAUAAAAGGUACUCCGGGGAUAACAGGCUGAUACCGCCCAAGAGUUCAUAUCGACGGCGGUGUUUGGCACCUCGAUGUCGGCUCAUCACAUCCUGGGGCUGAAGUAGGUCCCAAGGGUAUGGCUGUUCGCCAUUUAAAGUGGUACGCGAGCUGGGUUUAGAACGUCGUGAGACAGUUCGGUCCCUAUCUGCCGUGGGCGCUGGAGAACUGAGGGGGGCUGCUCCUAGUACGAGAGGACCGGAGUGGACGCAUCACUGGUGUUCGGGUUGUCAUGCCAAUGGCACUGCCCGGUAGCUAAAUGCGGAAGAGAUAAGUGCUGAAAGCAUCUAAGCACGAAACUUGCCCCGAGAUGAGUUCUCCCUGAGACUUAGAGUCUCCUGAAGGAACGUUGAAGACGACGACGUUGAUAGGCCGGGUGUGUAAGCGCAGCGAUGCGUUGAGCUAACCGGUACUAAUGAACCGUGAGGCUUAACCUUACAACGCCGAAG
rnacentral:rRNA from 1 species